AGUGAAGCCGGAGGGAUGGGGUCCAAUCGCCGUCGGCUGCGCAGAAACUGGGACUUCUCCCCAGGGUCGUGGAGGACGCGGCCGCGGACCCUCCCACCGCCUCACGCCUCAGAGACCGGGUCCAGAGCCCUCAGCCGCUUCCGAGCCCCGAGAGGGGAAUCAGAAGUGCGCGUGGUCAGAGCUGCACCCCCUUCCCAGGAACCGCAGCUGAACCAACGGUUUCCCCUGCACCAGCCUUUGCGACCAGACCAGAAGACCAUGUAGCACCAAAAAGAUAGCUGCAAAGUGGGAUAAACUUGGGGAAAACAAUCUGCUGGCCGGAAGAGAGUAAGAUGCAGGAGGAUGAUUGCUGGUUCUCCACAGCAGGAGUCAGGGAGGCCAUGAGAUGGAAGAGCCACCCCACAAUGGGAAGAACCUGGAGACAAGGUUCUCCUUGUCUACGCCCGAGAGAAGCCAUCCUUCAGGAGAGAGUUUCUGAGUUUCCUGAACUUGGGGAACAUUCUAAACCUAUUCAAAAUUUGCUUACUCACAGAGAGGUCUCACAAGUAGGCACGUCGUCCAUAAAUGAGACUCGCAUGUUGAAUAUUGACACAGAAUUCAGUUUUUGUUUAGAUGACUAUCAGAAUAAAAUAUCUGUAUAUGAGAAGCCU
rnacentral:sRNA from 1 species